rnacentral:rRNA from 1 species
UACGUAGGGCGCAAGCGUUGUCCGGAGUUAUUGGGCGUAAAGAGCUCGUAGGCGGCCAGUUGCGUCUGCUGUGAAAUCCCGGGGCUCAACCCCGGGCGUGCAGUGGAUACGGGCUGGCUAGAGGCAGGCAGGGGAGAACGGAAUUCCUGGUGUAGCGGUGAAAUGCGCAGAUAUCAGGAGGAACACCGGUGGCGAAGGCGGGUCUCUGGGCCGAUACUGACGCUGAGGAGCGAAAGCGUGGGGAGCGAACAGG